UUUCUUUAUUUCUUUAUUUUCAGUACCGAGAAUCUAAUUCAGGACCUUGUGCCUGCAAGGCAGGUGCAGCACCACUGAAUGAAAUCCCCAGCCCCAGAAUGGCAACAUAUUAACAAAGACAGAAGUUGUACAUUUGUCCAAACUGAUUUAACAUUGCUUCUUUGAAAUCAAGUGUAUGGCAAGAAAUAUAUGGCUUUAAAUAUCAACUUAGGGAGACACGCCUUCUCCCAACCCAGCCGCCAUCGCUCAAGCUCUGGGAGGUAGUCUGGGCCCUAAUCCACCUCGGGAAGGAGAUCCACACCUGCUCCCAACCCAGCCGCCAUCACUCAAGCACUGAGAAGCGUAUUCCUCGGGUGACAAAGUCUUAAGCCAGAGAUCCAGAUCCACCCUGUACUGUUUCUGUAGCUCCUCAGCCUGCUCUGUAUACUGUUCUCUCAAGUUCUGGGGCACACGAUGCCAGCGUCUGCUAAUUUCUACCAUUCUCUCCCUCAGGGGCAAAUGUUGUAGCUCCUCACUUGACCAUGAAUCUUGAUGAAAUUUGUGAUAUCCAUUCAUG
rnacentral:lncRNA from 1 species